GUUGGGAAUGUUAAAAGAUGAAUAAGGAAUGGCUGAAAGGACACAUUUAAUUACCUACCAGAUUAAGGAGAAAAAUUCUGGAAAGCAGAGUAAAAUCUGCUUGUAGGAAUUAUUUUUACCUUUAUACUCAAGAGUUAAUGGACAAAAUAUAGGAAUGGUCUCAAGAAAGGAAAACAAAACUGGACUUUUCAAAGUGCCUCAGACUUGCUGGACAUGUACAGGGCUACUUUCUUGGAGGCAC